UACGAAGGGUGCAAGCGUUACUCGGAAUUACUGGGCGUAAAGCGUGCGUAGGUGGUUUGUUAAGUCUGAUGUGAAAGCCCUGGGCUCAACCUGGGAAUUGCAUUGGAUACUGGCAGGCUAGAGUGCGGUAGAGGGUAGUGGAAUUCCCGGUGUAGCAGUGAAAUGCGUAGAGAUCAGGAGGAACACCAGUGGCGAAGGCGGCUCACUGGUCCGGUACUGACGCUGAGGUGCGAAAGCGUGGGGAGCAAACAGG
rnacentral:rRNA from 1 species